rnacentral:rRNA from 1 species
AAUUGGAGGGCAAGUCUGGUGCCAGCAGCCGCGGUAAUUCCAGCUCCAAUAGCGUAUAUUAAAGUUGUUGCAGUUAAAAAGCUCAUAGUUGAAUUUCGGGAUUGACGUGAUGGUCGUGCCUUAAGGGGUAUGAACUGUCGCAGUUGAUUUCUCACCUUCUGGAGAAGCUUGAUGUCCUUAAUUGGGUGUCAUGUGGAACCAGGACCUUUACCUUGAAAAAAUUAGAGUGUUUAAAGCAGGCAUUUUGCUCGAAUACAUUAGCAUGGAAUAAUAGAAUAGGACGGCAUGGUUCUAUUUUGUUGGUUUCUAGGAUCACCGUAAUGAUUAAUAGGGAUAGUUGGGGGCAUUAGUAUUCAAUUGUCAGAGGUGAAAUUCUUGGAUUUAUUGAAGACUAACUACUGCGAAAGCAUUUGCCAAGGAUGUUUUCAUUAAUCAAGAACGAAAGUUAGGGGAUCGAAGACGAUCAGAUACCGUCGUAGUCUUAACCAUAAACUAUGCCGACUAGGAAUCAGACGAUGUUAAUUUUUUAAUGACUCGUUUGGCACCUUACGGGAAACCAAAGUGU